rnacentral:rRNA from 1 species
GACGAACGCUGGCGGCGUGCUUAACACAUGCAAGUCGAACGAAGAGCGAUGGAAGCUUGCUUCUAUCAAUCUUAGUGGCGAACGGGUGAGUAACGCGUAAUCAACCUGCCCUUCAGAGGGGGACAACAGUUGGAAACGACUGCUAAUACCGCAUACGAUCUAAUCUCGGCAUCGAGGAUAGAUGAAAGGUGGCCUCCACAUGUAAGCUAUCACUGAAGGAGGGGAUUGCGUCUGAUUAGCUAGUUGGAGGGGUAACGGCCCACCAAGGCGAUGAUCAGUAGCCGGUCUGAGAGGAUGAACGGCCACAUUGGGACUGAGACACGGCCCAGACUCCUACGGGAGGCAGCAGUGGGGAAUCUUCCGCAAUGGACGAAAGUCUGACGGAGCAACGCCGCGUGAGUGAUGACGGCCUUCGGGUUGUAAAGCUCUGUUAAUCGGGACGAAAGGCCUUCUUGCGAAUAGUGAGAAGGAUUGACGGUACCGGAAUAGAAAGCCACGGCUAACUACGUG